rnacentral:lncRNA from 10 species
AUACUAGGGAAGGCAUCGAGCUUGAGGAAGAGGCCCCAUUCAUCUCCGUACCCCAGGCCCUGGUACACAGCAGCUCCAGGCGGGCACGCAUCUUUGUUGUGUUCUCUGCUGACUAUAUCCUCAGCACCUAGAACUGUGUCUGUCACCUAAUAGAUGCUCACAAGAAUGCGGUGUGUCAGGAGAAGCAAAUCCCAAAUGAGAUAAACCUGCCAGUAAUUUCAGCAAAUGAAACGUGGAACACGUCAAGGCCAGAGGAUGGAAAAGGCUCCAGUUUUGAUAAAAGGAGGCCUGCUUGGCUUGGAAUCCUCUCUCCUGCUGGUUGGGAGAUGCAAAGAUGUUUCCAGAGAGGGGCUGAUGAAUUGAGGGGAAAGAAAUGAGCCCAGUAUGAGUCCCCUUUCAGGGCUGAGCGUGUAUAAAACCAAACAACUUGGAACCGCUCCAAGAGAGGGGAUUAAAGCAACAUGUUAUUCUGA